UACGGAGGGGGCUAGCGUUGUUCGGAAUUACUGGGCGUAAAGGGCGCGUAGGCGGCAAUUCAAGUCAUCUGUGAAAUCUCCGGGCUUAACCCGGAACGGUCAGAUGAUACUGCUUUGCUAGAGUGCGGAAGGGGCAAUCGGAAUUCUCGGUGUAGCGGUGAAAUGCGUAGAUAUCGAGAGGAACACCUGAGGUGAAGACGGGUUGCUGGGCCGACACUGACGCUGAGUGCGCGAAAGCCAGGGGAGCAAACGGG
rnacentral:rRNA from 1 species